rnacentral:rRNA from 1 species
GUACACGCUGUGACUAGCAUAUCAAUAAGCGGAGGAAAAGAAACUAACAAGGAUUCCCCUAGUAACGGCGAGUGAAGCGGGAAGAGCUCAAAUUUGAAUCUUAAAGGGUUUCCCUUUACGAAUUGUAGUUUAAAGAAGUGUUUUCUGUUGAGGUUUUGGUAAAAGUUCUUUGGAAUAGGACAUCAUAGAGGGUGAGAAUCCCGUAUUUGACCUUUACUUUCAACUUUGUGAUACACUUUCAAAGAGUCGGAUUGUUUGGGAAUGCAGUCCAAAAUGGGUGGUAAAUUUCAUCUAAAGCUAAAUAUUGGCGAGAGACCGAUAGCGAACAAGUACCGUGAGGGAAAGAUGAAAAGAACUUUGAAAAGAGAGUUAAACAGUACGUGAAAUUGUCAAAAGGGAAGCGUUUGACACCAGUGUUGUUUUUCUGAAAAUCAAUUAAAGAACUGUUUAUGCUAAGCUGUUUAGACUUUAUCAGCUAUACUGUUUAGUUUUGAGCUUUUCUUUAAUGCACUUUUCAGUUAACAAGUCAACAUCAAUUUCUUUUGCUGUAAAAAAGCUUGAGGAAGGUGGCUUGAGAUUCGUCUUAAGUGUAUAUAGCCUCUUGCCUAUGCAGUCGGAGAGAUUGAGGUCUGCAGCGUAGAUCCUUCGGGGCUAAAUGCAUUUGUGCUAAGUUAUAGCAUUUUAUAGACAACUUGUUGACUAUGAUUUGUCUUGUAGCUUACUCGCUUAUGUUAUUUUACCUACGCUUAGGAUGUUGACGCGCGUGUGUGCGUG